AACCUCCGCAAUGUGAGAAAUCGCGACGGGGGGAUCCCAAGUGCCAUUCUUAACGGGAUGGCUUUUCAUUAGUGUAAAGAGCUUUUGGAAUAAGGGCUGGGCAAGACCGGUGCCAGCCGCCGCGGUAACACCGGCAGCUCUAGUGGUAGCAGUUUUUAUUGGGCCUAAAGCGUCCGUAGCCGGUUUAAUAAGUCUCUGGUGAAAUCCUGUAGCUUAACUGUGGGAAUUGCUGGAGAUACUAUUAGACUUGAGACCGGGAGAGGUUAGAGGUACUCCCAGGGUAGAGGUGAAAUUCUGUAAUCCUGGGAGGACCGCCUGUUGCGAAGGCGUCUAACUGGAACGGUUCUGACGGUGAGGGACGAAAGUUAGGGGCGCGAACCGGAUUAGAUACCCGGGUAGUCCUAACCGUAAACGAUGCGGACUUGGUGUUGGGUGGCUUUGAGCUGCUCCAGUGCCGAAGGGAAGCUGUUAAGUCCGCCGCCUGGGAGUACGGUCGCAAGACUGAAACUUAAAGGAAGU
rnacentral:rRNA from 1 species